CCCGAGGCUCCCCUCGGUUUGCUACUUUGUGGUCCUUACCUGCACGCACCUUGUGGCAGGGAUGAUGCUUGGUUUGGCUCACCGCUUGCCUCAUCGAUCUCCCGGGCUGGUCAACAGGUAGCAGGGCCCUAAUAGCAGCUGUGUGAUGGAGGAUGCGAGCUCGUCGAAAUCAACGGUGCCUUUUCCGUCAGCAUCCAUCGAGGCGAUGAAGGAGUGGAUCUCGUUCCCCAUUGCUCCUGCGCGAUUUUGGGGGUCCUGGCAGCGUUAUCCGUCCCCAACCGUCGAGCUGGAGGUGUCGUUGCUGUGCCCAAGCGAGGCACUCGGUGCAUCGUCUUCAUCCUCGCCAGCAGCAGCCCUGCUUUGGCGUUGCAUUCUUCCACCUGCAAGUCCCCCUCUCCCUGUUACUUUUUCCGUGUUUGUGUGAUUGAACCAAUAUAGUUUAAGGUACUACUGUAUACUCAUUAGUGACAAAUGUUACCAUUUCUGUUUUUUGUACUAUCCUGCAUACUUGUUGCUGUUGAUUUUCAUUCAGAUUGAUUUCUUGUCCAUCUACCAAAUGAAGACAGUAAGUUCUAGACGCCUAACACAGCUUAAGGCAAAAUAUUAAUUAGUUUAUGUCUUUUUUCUGGGCUUUGGACCGGAAUCGGUAGUGUUCGGCCCCCCUACGCCCAUUAAUUUUCAGUAAAUUAAGGAAAUAAUUAGUGUCUUUGUGUUUUAUUAAUUGAAUAAUAAAUUAGGUAUGAUUGCAUUCUACAUACUGUAAUAUAUAAUGAUGCUCGGAUGCUCUCACCAUUGAAUUGUAUUAUAUAAGAAGCUUUAGAUAUCACAUGAUAUAGAGUGUUGAUGUUUGGCAUUAUUGAACUAUUUCCGUAAAUGUUGAUGCAUGUUCCCAGUACUUAUGCAGAGUAGUAGACCAUAGUAUCCGCCCUGAGAUCCUCUCAUAUCUUGUUAACAUAGAUAAGUCAGUUAUUAUUUUGAAGAUAGUUUGUAGUGUACUAUUUUUGUAGGUAGUUAUGGUUAUGGUUAUAUAAAAGGCCGGUAGCAUCCAUCUAGUUCUCGGCAACGGAGAUGGCCUUUGCCCCGGCGAACAUUCAAGCCAAUACCCAUCUACUUCAUAUGUAUGCAAGUAGCGCCGCAUGCCAUAUAGUUUAAAAUAUAAAAUAGGAGAUUUGUUUUUCUUAAAAUAAAAUUGUAAAGUUUUGACAUGUGUAAAGUGUUCUUGCACGUACUAUUUUAAAUUUCGUUGGUAAAUCUUUUGACAUGUGUAAAGUUUCUUCGUAGUCUUUCUUUAAAUCAUCUUCUAUUGUAAUUAUAUACGAACAUUCUUUAUUUUUUAAUCUAUUUGCCUGCACUUUUCGGAAAUUUCAUAAAAUGACAACAAUUAUUAAACACACGUAGAAGAUGAAAAGUGGAAUACCUCAUCAAGUCAUCAUUCAGAAGUUUGCUCGGUGCAACAUUUUUUAGCUUCAUUAUGUGACUUCCAUGUAACAAAAUUUUAAGAACCUUGUGUUCCUUGGAUUUCCAGCAUGCUUUGUUUGGGAAACAUCUUUUUGACAGCAAAUGUACAUGCAUUUAUUGUGUGCAAUAAUGACCCUGGUUAUGGAUAAACGAUUAAGAACAUUGGAUUUGGGGGUAUUGCAAAAAUAGUUUAAAGUUCUCACCUUUGAUUACUUUGCUAAAAUUUGAAGUGACAAUCACGAUCAUUUUUGUGUGCAAAACUUCCAUUUACCAUAUUUGCUCAAAUAUUUCCCCAUAGAGUGAUCCCUAUCUUCUCACCAUUGAAAUAAUUGGACCUUGUAAAAAGUCAUAUACGUAAUUUUAAAAUUGCUUACGUAAUUGAAAUAACUUUAGCAAAAGGACUUAAAUCUUGCGGAUGUUUGAAGUUUGUCUCUGCUUGUCCACUUGUUCUUCUGUACUUCCUAAAUUGGUUCAUCAUGGUAAGUAACCCAAGCCAUUGAUUCAUGAUUACUAACAAAUUCAUCAAUGCCAUAUACAGGAACCGUGCAAAUUAUCUAAAUUGGUGUAGGUGAUACUUACUGGAGAUAAUUUGAUCUCUAAUUAUGUGCACAUGAUACUUACUAAAGGUGGUGUGAUUGCUCGAUGGAGCCGAUAACAGUCGCGGGGAGUCAGGAGAGGAGAUUGGGGCGCUUGCAACUAUUGGAGGAAGGCGAUGUCCAAGUGUCGAUCGCUGGAGGAAGGCGAUGAUGAAGGUGGGCUCCGACUUGUAGGGCGUGCUGAAACUGACUUGAUGCUAGCUCGUAUGGCUAGACUCGUCGCCAUGGCACCAUUGCUAGCCUGAUUGCCAGAGCUCGUAAAUCAUAACAUUACCUUCUCACGGUAUCGCCUUGCCCCGAUUGCUCAAGGUAGUAGCCGCCGGCCUGAUACAACAAAUCAGUUUAAAGUUACCCUUUGUUCCCUUGGGGUUGUGGCAGCAAAUUUUCAGAUUAUCUGUUUGUUUCUCAACCCCUUAGUUGUGAUGCUCUAGCUGUAAGUUAAACUUGUUUGUGUAGAGGCAGCCUUCAAUUCUAUAUCUAUAUCUAUACCCCUACUAAUAAAGCAAGGUGCGUUUCGCUAACUUUUUGAUCCGUUCAUCGUCAAAAAGAAUUUUUUAUUCGAGGUGGUACUAAAUUCUUCUGCGUUCGUCUGCUAGAAAAAAAAACUACUCUAGAAUUUCGAUUUUUUUUUCAAAACUAUAACUUUUUGUACAGCAAAUUCGGAAACUAUAGCACUUAACGCAAAAAAUCAAAAC
rnacentral:lncRNA from 1 species